UUGUUUGUAUAUUAUGGCUAUCUUUAUUUGAUGUCUUUGUCUUCAUAUGGUCUUCUUGGAUGUUUGCUUAUGCUUGUUGCUUGCUCAAAUGUCUAGAGGAAAAUAGGUUUCUAUCUGACAUUCUUGUCUUGUGAAUUGCAUCUCAUUGGUCAGAUAUUUUUAAUUCUUAACUUUUAUUUUUUGUCUAGGGUAGUCUCUUCAUCUUCACCCAC
rnacentral:lncRNA from 1 species